UUGGGGUGAGGUAGUAGGUUGUAUAGUUUGGGGCUCUGCCCUGCUAUGGGAUAACUACAAUCUACACUGUCUUUCCUGA
rnacentral:pre_miRNA from 1 species